rnacentral:tRNA from 1 species
AAUUGGCUGGCUUAGUUGGUAGAGCUUGUGACUCUUGAUCACAAGACUGGGGCACCUGAGUGGCUCAGUCAGUUA